ACUGCAUACUAAAUAUUGUUGGCUCUGUGUCAAAUUGCUUGUUUUGUUCCUAGAUUCUUCAAUGCUGACGGCCUGCUGCACCCCAGCAGAGCUGGAGCGAACCUCCUGUCAGACAACAUCUCCAAGAUACUAUUGACCAUAAGACUAGAUUAUUAGAAACUUCACAGCACCAGGACUUGUGGGGACUUCAGAUGAUGCCAAUACU